rnacentral:lncRNA from 1 species
CACAGUCCAAAGUUUUUUAUGUGGGUGAUUAAUUAUUGAGAUUCUCUGAAAAGAAAUAUAUUACAUUGCAUUCCAACCAUAUCUUGUGCAGGCUCGGCUUCAAGGGAUGAUGAGAAUUUACCUGCUUAUUCGUGAGGCAAAGGGGAUUAAUCUAGGCCUAAACAAGGCCAAGACAAAGCUGAUAGAUCUGAGAGGACAGGUCGUUAUGUGAUUGGUCAGCAUGGACAUUGAAUUAAUCCAGGAUACAAGCAAAAAUUGCAUCACCGAGAGAGACUAUGAAUCAAGAGCCACACAUCAGUGAAUGAAAAGAUCUGGUUGAGGGAGAAAAAGGAGGAGGAAGAAGAUGAAGAGGAGGAAAAAGACAAGGAUAAGAACAAGGAGGAAGAUAUGGGUCAUUGUAGAAGCAACUGUUAAUAGAUUAAAUGCUAAGUAUAUUGAUUUUCUUAUACUCCUGAUACUAAUCACAACAGUCAGUUCAUACUU